CACCGCUGCAAGAGGGGAAGUUGCUACUGUGAUGAAUUCUGCCAUGUGGCACCAGACUGCCACCCAGACCACAGUGUCCUCUGCAACCCUGCUUCUCAGAUGACCAAGAUGGUGCUGCAGAUGGUGCUGAGGAUGGAGAACCCACCAAGCCCCGCUAGGAGCCACCUAGACUGGAUGCAGAGCAUGGAUUCUGGAUGUAUACAGAUGCUCUUCAUCUUAGGAAGGGGUUACGUCCCAAUAAACACGUGGCUAAAACCUUUGAAGAAGAAUUUAUUAUAUCCUACAAACCUGGGAGGCAGAGGUUGCAGUGAGCCAAGAUUGGGCCAUCGCACUCCAGCCUGGGCAAUAAGAAUGAAACUCUGUCUCAAAAAAAACAAAAGUUGGCCAGGGCUGGGCGUGGUGGCUCACACCUGUAAUCCCAGCACUUUGGGAGGCUAAAGCAGGUGGAUCACCUGAGGUCAGAAGUACGAGACCAUCGUGGCUAAUAUGGUGAAACCCCAUCUCUAC
rnacentral:lncRNA from 10 species